rnacentral:rRNA from 1 species
GUUCUGAGAGGAUGAUCCCCCACACUGGUACUGAGACACGGACCAGACUCCUACGGGAGGCAGCAGUGAGGAAUAUUGGUCAAUGGGCGCAAGCCUGAACCAGCCAUCCCGCGUGCAGGAUGACGGCCCUAUGGGUUGUAAACUGCUUUUGUACACCAAGAAAACUCGCUACGUGUAGCGAUCUGACGGUAGUGUAUGAAUAAGCAUCGGCUAACUCCGUGCCAGCAGCCGCGGUAAUACGGAGGAUGCAAGCGUUAUCCGGAUUCAUUGGGUUUAAAGGGUGCGUAGGCGGCCUUUUAAGUCAGUGGUGAAAUCCUGCCGCUUAACGGUAGAAUUGCCAUUGAUACUGAAAGGCUUGAGUUCAGUUGAGGUAAGCGGAAUGUGUAGUGUAGCGGUGAAAUGCUUAGAUAUUACACAGAACACCAAUUGCGAAGGCAGCUUACUAAACUGACACUGACGCUGAUGCACGAAAGCGUGGGGAGCGAACAGGAUUAGAUACCCUGGUAGUCCACGCCGUAAACGAUGUUCACUCGCUGUUUGCGAUACACAGCAAGCGGCCAAGCGAAAGC